GACGAACGCUGGCGGCGUGCCUAAUACAUGCAAGUCGAGCGGAUGGAAGGAAGCUUGCUUCCUAAAGUCAGCGGCGGACGGGUGAGUAACACGUGGGCAACCUGCCCCUAAGAUCGGGAUAACUUCGGGAAACCGGAGCUAAUACCGGAUAUGAUUAUGUCUCACAUGAGACAUAAUGGAAAGACGGUUUCGGCUGUCACUUAGGGAUGGGCCCGCGGCGCAUUAGCUAGUUGGUGAGGUAACGGCUCACCAAGGCGACGAUGCGUAGCCGACCUGAGAGGGUGAUCGGCCACACUGGGACUGGGACACGGCCCAGACUCCUACGGGAGGCAGCAGUAGGGAAUCUUCCGCAAUGGACGAAAGUCUGACGGAGCAACGCCGCGUGAGUGAAGAAGGUUUUCGGAUCGUAAAACUCUGUUGUUAGGGAAGAACAAGUACCAUAGUAACUGAUGGUACCUUGACGGUACCUAACCAGAAAGCCACGGCUAACUACGUGCCAGCAGCCGCGGUAA
rnacentral:rRNA from 1 species